GGGAGUGUGGGUGAGCAGCUAAACCACCUGCCUGUAACGCAGCCGCCGCAAGGUAUCGCUGGUGCAAUUCCAGCCACUCCCACCA
rnacentral:tRNA from 1 species